GAUACCCUAUUAUACUGAUGAUUUUUCAGAUUAUUAACAGAUAUGUCCUUGAAAUUCAAAGAAUUUGGCGGUGGUUUAGUCUUGUUAGAGGAACCUGUUUUUGAAUCGAUAAUCCACGUGGAAUCUUACUCAUUUUAUUAUUAGUUUAUAUACCGUCAUUAUUAGAUAAUUUUGAAAAAAUAAUUAUUAAGGUUUAAAUUAAAGUUAGAUAAAAUUAGAUCAAGGUGUAGCUUAUAAGUGAGUUAAAAUGGGUUACAAUAAAUUCUUAUUUAAGACGGAGUAGCAAAUGAAGGAAGAUUUUCGCUAUAAAGGAGGAUUUAAUUGUAAUAUAAGUUAAUAAGGU
rnacentral:rRNA from 1 species